rnacentral:rRNA from 1 species
UGGGCGUAAGAGCUCGUAGGCGGUUUGUCGCGUCUGCCGUGAAAGUCCGGGGCUCAACUCCGGAUCUGCGGUGGGUACGGGCAGACUAGAGUGAUGUAGGGGAGACUGGAAUUCCUGGUGUAGCGGUGAAAUGCGCAGAUAUCAGGAGGAACACCGAUGGCGAAGGCAGGUCUCUGGGCAUUAACUGACGCUGAGGAGCGAAAGCAUGGGGAGCGAACAGGAUUAGAUACCCUGGUAGUCCAUGCCGUAAACGUUGGGCACUAGGUGUGGGGGACAUUCCACGUUUUCCGCGCCGUACCUAACGCAUUAAGUGCCCCGCCUGGGGAGUACGGCCGCAAGGCUAAAACUCAAAGGAAUUGACGGGGGCCCGCACAAGCGGCGGAGCAUGCGGAUUAAUUCGAUGCAACGCGAAGAACCUUACCAAGGCUUGACAUGGACCGGACCGCCGCAGAAAUGUGGUUUCCCCUUUGGGGCUGGUUUACAGGUGGUGCAUGGUUGUCGUCAGCUCGUGUCGUGAGAUGUUGGGUUAAGUCCCGCAACGAGCGCAACCCUCGUUCUAUGUUGCCAGCACGUGAUGGUGGGGACUCAUAGGAGACUGCCGGGGUCAACUCGGAGGAAGGUGGGGACGACGUCAAAUCAUCAUGCCCCUUAUGUCUUGGGCUUCACGCAUGCUACAAUGGCCGGUACAAAGGGUUGCGAUACUGUGAGGUGGAGCUAAUCCCAAAA